GUCAGAGUCAUAGCACUCAUGUCUCUCAGCUGCGGAAGUUCUUGGUUGAUGAUUUUGUAGUGGGUGUAUUAGUGGACAUCCAGGUGGAUGAUCGCCUGAAUUAUAUAAAGAGACCAGUGACGAUCAUUGACAAGAGGACAAAGACUCUAUAGAACAAGAUGGUGGAUAUGUGAAGGUGCAGUGGAAACACCGAAAGGGUUCUAAAUAGACGGGGGAGCCUGAGGACAAGAUGAUGGAGCAUGAGUCGGAGUUAUUUGUGGUAGCCGACUUCGAGAGUGGGGCAUUAUUAUAAAACCUGAUUCAAGGUACUUUUCAUUUUGACCCUUAGUGUGUAAAUAAUUUUUAAAUAUGGUCCCAAGGGGUGUAAAGUGAAACUUUAAGGGGGACGUGCGUACACUUGGCGUAUGUCAUCUAGGGACAAACCCUAUUUUUUAGGGUUUGUACCCUAUUUAAGCAUCAUUAUGACCCAUGAUCCCCUCAUUUCUCAACCUCUAUUACCCUUUUAGCCUUUUUUCGAAAUCCUAACCCAUUUAGAGAAGAUUUGACCUCUUUAUGUGUUUUGGUGAACCUUGAGGUAGAAGGAGCUUGACGAAGGAGCUUUGAUCAAGGGAGGGCUUCUAAAUCCCGAUUACACUUAACAUUCCUACCUUCAUUGAGGUAUACAACUUCGAACUUGCUCCUUGUAUGCUUAGAUCUAGUUCUAUGGAGUUUUGUUCACUUUUUAUUUCCAUGAAUGAAAUCUAGUGGGAUUCUUCCACUCUGGAAGUUAGGAUUGCUUCUCUUGAUGUUUCUGAGGUCCCUAGUCCAUAAAGUUAGUAUCUUGAUGGUUGAGGAUCAACCAAGCAUGUGUUUAUGUCCAUUUGGUGAAAGUAGGAUUCUAAAUCUAGGGUUUGAGUUCAUUUAAGCCAUGCAAAUGCUCUAAGUUAGUGACUUUAUGAAUUAAGACGUACCCCAAGGCUUGGAUUUGAAAUUUGGACGUCUAGUUGUAAGCAUUAAGUGCUUAAUGGANGUGCGUACAAUGGGCAUAUGCAAGCAUAUGCGUUCGUGUCCCUGAUCAGGAAAGCCACCUAGUACAUCGGGCGUACUUCAGGUACGUGCAACAUACUAGGCCUGGUCAUGGGCUCUGUGGGAUGGGCCUUCUUGGAUUUGGGCCCAUAUUAGGCUUUGGGUGUCCUUUAGGAAUUAGGCCACUAUUGGGCGUUUAGUGCCAUUAGGUUGGGCCACGGUUAUUGGCCCAAGUGCGGAAAGGGUAAAAUGGUCUUUUACCAUGAGUGUUGGACAAAUGAACUAGAUUCCCGGUCAAAAAUCACCAACCCGAACACGACCCAUUUAACUAUACAGGUCACUGAUUGGUGGGUGAUGGGUUGUUGGAUUUUGAACAUAAACCCAUAUAUGACCUGCCAAUCAACGUAUUUAUAAAGGUUCACAGGUUGGUGGGUUCGUAGGUUGGAUUUGGGUUCGUGGGUCAGAUUCCAUAAAUAAAAUGGAUUAUUAAACAUGAAUAAAUUCUUGAUGCAAACAUAUCCGAAUUUUAGACACCUAAGUCUUAAACAUUCAAAUGAAAAUUAAAAACAUACAUAGAAACAUGUUCAAACUAAAACAUUAAUAGAAAUGCCAAAUAACAAACGUGUGUAACAAGUCAAACGGUCAAUGGCAUCCUAUCCUAGUAUAUAAACUGUAUAAUACUUAAGUCUUAAUACAUUUAAAAAUAUAUAUAACUUUUUUACUAAAAUUGUAAACGGGUUGGCGGGUCAACCCGUAUAUUUUUUUAGAAACUCAUAUAUGACCUGUUUUAAUAAAUGGCUUGGUGGGUUAGCGGGUUGAAAACUCAGCCCAAACCGGUUUAUUUUGUGUUGUGUUGCGGGUCGUGUCGAGAAUUGUCAGGCCUAAUUCUCGGUUAUGGUUUAUGUCUAAUUAUUAAUUGGAGUUUUAUUUGAUUGGUUAAGGCAGAGAUUUUCCGGUUCAAUAGCCCGAUCAUCUGUUUGACUGACAGCAGACUGUAGUGAGUUUGAUCACUAUAUUGUAGGGCACUAGGAUAUGUUAUGUGCUUGUAGUCUUUGUGACUCCUGUUGUAUGUUUUGUAUGCAUAUGUGCCUUUUUGCUAUAUAUAUGUGGGGUGAAAUAGAUUUGGUACAACCUUGUGCCGACAUAUGAAUUAAAAUAGACUCUGGGAUCAAAUAGACCAGUACGGCUUGGGCCGACGCAUGAGUUGAAAUAGACUCGGGGGUGAAAUAAACCCGGUGGUGAAAUAGACUCGGAACAUCCUUGAGCUGGCAUAUAUGUAUGAUAAACGGUUUUUGGGGAAUUCACAAAGCUUCGAGCUUACGAUUUUCAGUUUAUAUUUCAGGUACUUCUGGAUCGAAGGGGAAGAGCUCGAUAUCAUCGCAUCGUACACACCAUGACUUUUCACCUAUUUGACUCUGAUGUGUGUUUGGAUGAUUAUGAAUACGUUAUGAAUUCCCUUUGGUUUUGCUAAACACGUCUGGUUGAUGUUUUAUUUAAUAUGAAAACAAAAAAUUUUGGUUUUGAAUUUUGGGACGUUACGAUUAGCUUGCAAAAAUCAUCAUACAGUCACACACACCACUACCCACACACGACAUACAUAAUGUGUGUGAUGCUCUGUGUGGAUCAUAUUUAUGGGAUUUAUCCCUCUUGGGUUAGAUACAAGGAAUAACAACGUACUUCUAACUUUCUAUUAGACUAUGUAAUUUUUUUUUUUUUUCUUAUUAACAUAUUGUAACUUAAAAAAUAUAACCUAUAUGAUAUUUACAUAUCGUGUUUUUUUACAUAAUAUAGAAUACAGAACAUCAUAGAAAGCAUGUUUUUGAUCUUAAGUAUUAACUUAUACUAACAUUUCCCUAAUUUGUUUAUAUUCUUCUAUGUGACCAUUUUAAGUCUUUUAAAUUUUUAUAAAUUUGCCAUGAUUUUUUUAAAAAAAAUUUAAGCAUCGUUUAUAAAUGACUAUAAUCUUUUUAUUUUAGGCUAGAUGUAUGAUAUUGAUACAAUUUGCUACAAAAUGGUCAUUUAUGUUAACGUUGUAAACAAUUUCACAUUAUUGUGACUUGGUACAAAUUUCGACUUCCCAGUGUGAGAUUGAACCGAUAGGUGAUGAAAUAUUUUAAUGUUUGCGGUGAGACAUGUAACUAUCUCAAUAAAUGAUAGCCCUUGGAUUCAGUCUAGAUAAAAUGUUCACCCUUUAAAAUAAUUAUUUUUUAAGUUACUGAGAAACCUCUACAUCAUGCGGGAUUUCGGAGUUGGGACUUUGUAAGUUUUUUGUAUUGUUUUGUAUGUUAUGUUAUGUUGUUGGAAUGUGUGUUUGAUUUAAUAUUCAAUUUUCUGAAAUACGAGACCAAUGGAGGGUAUUGCACUAGAUUUGUGCGUCAUUAUACUGUAUGAAAAUAAUUCGACGACGAUAUUAAUAUGGUAAACAUAUAUAAUAUUAUAUCUACAAUUGGGACCAAUACCCUUUGUUCAUCCGAUGAUUCUAAUUGUGAUGAGUUAAAAAUGAAAAAAAAUGGUCUACAAGGAUCAUAGAUGGUGAACGAUAUACAUUGGCGGAUGCUUUAUGGGACCAUGUAUUCCAACGAUCACAUCUAUAAUACCAACAUCAUUGGUACUUAUUGUUAGAUGCUGUGUUAAUGUUAAUAAAAUCAUCAUAUUUUGUUUCUCAUUUCUGUUGUUGUGUAAAUACAUUUCGUCUGUUAUCGGUAAUGAUUAAGAUGUCAAUUCAAACAAGUCGAAGUCUGAGGUAACGAUGAAAUAGUGAAGUAGAUUAGGAAAUACGUUAGGACAUAUGGUUUUAAAUAUCAAAACUACUUAUCUUAUUCUAAACCGUUUAAUUUAAUUUUAUUAUGAUAUGUGUGUUGUUUUCUCUAUUUUAUGUAAUUGUACGAGGAAAGCAAUGAUUAAAGUAUGCCGUAUAUAAUUAUUAUUAGAAGUUAAAUUUGAUUUUUAGUAGUUUUAUAUGUUAUCAACCUUCUUCUAGUUCUUCUAUUUUUAGUUUUCUAAAUUUAUUUGUAUGUUAUUUUAUAUUGUUGGAAUGCUUGAUUGAAUUGACAUUUUAAUGUAUUGAAAUACCCAACCAACAUGUCAUUUCCAAACUCAUGUUACGUGCUUGAAUUAACAAAUUAAAAAUUAUAUGAAAUUGAAAGUGAAAACUAAUUUUGUUAACAUUUUCAUUAUAUUGAAAUAGAUAUCUUGGGAACAUGUAUGAUACUGCUUUAUGUAAAAAAUAGAAUCAAAAUAGUGGUCGUCAUUGUGAAAGAAUAAGUAAAAAAUUUUAUGAAAUAUGUCAAAUUGUUUAUAACAUCUUUAAACAUAUGUUAUUUCUAACACUAUGGUGUAUGGGUACGAAAACCCCCCGUUACAGAUGAUAUGACAGCCUAAAACGGGGUGGUAAUAUCAUGGACACCAUAGUGGUAAAUCUUGUCUAAAGGUUUAUGCAUUUUAUGCUAUCAUGUAGACUUUUUAUUUCCCAUGUUAGGAUGUGUAGUUGCGUAUAGAAUGUUUAUAUGGUCUUUACAAUUUCAAAAGGCAAUAUGGUUGAAAUCUUGAAGGGAGAAAAGAAAACGUACAUGACAUUAAUAAAGUUGAUCAAAUUGAUGUUAGAAAAUUACUCUUUCUUAAUUCUUAGUGUCUUGUUGGUUAAGUUUUAACUUAUGUUGUCAAUGGUUGUAAAUUAUGUCUUAAGAGUCAAUUUGAUUUUUUGGGUUAAAAGAGUCAAUUUGUGAAAUUAGGAACCGAAAAGAACAUGUUAACUAUAAAAUUUCGAAGAGAUGACACAAAAGGCUUGCUAGCCGAGUUGGUAAGGCAUGAGUGAUGUUGAUCUAUAGGUCCGGGUUUCAAAACUUACAACCCUCAAAUUUGUUUUGAUUUAUUUUGUGUUGCAAAGACAAUAAGUUUAAAAGGAACGAGAUGUUUAACGGGUUCCUUGGUAGAUCAACUGGUAAGAACCGUGUUUGAUGUGUUACAGGUCCCGAGUUUGAAUAUUGGGAACCUCAAAAAUUCUUUUAUUUUUUUUUUGUGUACACAGUGCAAAAAUUCGUACCCCGAGCCGCAUAGUGUCGAGCCGUACACCGAGGCUGCACACCCUAGCCGACCGCUGUAAAAUUUGGUAAAAAUAAGAACCAUCGUACGAUGCUAUGUUUUGAUUAUUAAGCAAUAUGAGUAUUUUAUCAAGAAUGGUUGAAGGAAUUUAACUUCUUUUAUUUAAAUAAGUUAUUGUGAAAUAUAAAACACGUACCUAUUGAUAAAUUUCGUUAUGAUGUAUGGCUACGAACCAUCACCGGUUUCUGAAAUUAGCAUAUAAUAUCAUUUAAACGCAACAAACUUAAUUUUUGUAUCAACAUUUCUGUAGUUGAUAAGUAAGUUAGGUUCUAUGUAAAAUGUUUGCUUAAUAGAUGUGGAGGAUCUAAAUUUGACAAAUAUACGAACCAAAGUGACAAAACGUGUUUAACUAUAUGGUUAACCGGUUAAAUGUCACGAAAUUAUACAUUGGUCAAUAAAUUUUAUAUUUAAAUAAAUUAAAAUAUAAAAUGAGUUAUUAUAAGGUAUAAUUAGAAUGUAUUUAAGUGUUUUUGAAUAAAAAGAAUAAAACAUAAACAUUAAAGUUCAAAUACACAAAAACUACAUUGUUAUUUUAUACUAAGUAUACAUGUAUGUAUUUGUAUAUAUGUAUUAUUAUCUAGUGAAUGACUAGUUAUAAGUCAUGAAUUAAAAUGAUUUCAUGUAAGUUUUAUGAUGUCUAAAUCAAUUAAGAUAAGAGAAUUGGUGGAGAUAAGUGCCAACUUAACUAAUAAGUGCUUAAUCACUUAAGACAUUUUACUAAGAAUGCUUAUUAAUCCCUCUUCUAAUUUUCGAGAUUAAGACCUUCCCUCUCCUUAACUAGAACUCCUAACUAACUAAAUAACUAGUAGUUAGUUAGUUAACUAACUCUAUCUCUAAACAACCACCCAAGCAAGUGGCUAGACAAGAUCACAUCACUUAAACUCACAUCCCAUCACAAGCUAGUCUAGGUUUUGUCCCCUUAUCCUCUUCCACCCUUUCCUCCUUCAUAACCACGAAAUUUCCUCUUCAUUUUACCCUCAUUUGACCAGCCAAUACUCCAAGUAAUUACUCUCAACCUUCAUCUCAUUUUCAAGCACAAGAACUUCCUUCCAAAGCCAUCAAAACCAUGAACUAAAGGGUUGCUGUCCCUUUUGUGUUUCAGCCACCAUUUCACCCAUCUACACCUUCCUUUUGCUUGAUAUUUUUACCACCAAAUACCCCUGGAAGUUACUUGUUAUGAUACUCAAAAUUAUUGAUUCAAAACAGUGAGUAAACUACCCUUUUUCUUGCUCUUUUGCUGUGAAAUUUUCGUGACAGCAACAUAGCCAAAAGAGUGGCUGUUUUGGAGCAUCAAACCAACAACCAAAAGUUCAUCUUCAACUUUCCAUUCUUCAAGUAUUCACAUAAGGUGAGUUCAUACCCCUACAUUUUCAUGUUUUAUUCAAGUUUUAAGGGGGGGAAUACAAGUUAGAACACUAAACAUAACUUAAAUUUAAAUGACAACUUUCUACAGAAAAGUUGAGUCCUGUUCACGGACUGUUUUGACCAUCUUAAACUUAAUAUCUUUCAAAACUGUACAAUAUGCAAAUAUUUCAAGUUUAUAACUUUCUAAGGCCUACUUGCACGCGUUCAUACGAUUUGUCUACAAUUUAUGGCGAUUUUAUAAAACUGUCUGUCAUUUCAGAAGUGAUUUCGGACCAGUUAGUGAAGAUGUUCAUUUUCACACUAGUUUGAGACCACUAAAAAUCAUAAUAAAAAUUAGGAACAAAGUAGACUCAUUUUAUAAACUCUCAGAGGUGACGGAUUCAGUUUUUGACUUACGAGGAUUUUUCUAUGAGUUUUCUAAAAACAGGGACAGUAAAGGGUAAAACUGUCAAAAGUGGUUUAUAGAUUUAUUAACACCUUCUAACAUUUUUGAGCAAUGUUUAUACAUUAAGGAAGUUAAAACACAAUCAUUUAAAUAUGUUUAAUUACCAUUUUUACAAAAGUGAUAAGUACAAAAAGGUCUUUAGUAUCAAACUUAAGGAUUAUUUCAUGCAAAGUUUCUAAUAAAAACGUAAGAAUAUGAACAACAAUUACGAAACAUACCAAAUCAUCUUUUAAAAUUUAUACAUAUAUAUAACCAUAUACAUAUAUAUGUUUUGUUUACAAACUUGUCUUCUACAUCGAAAAUAUACAUAUAUAUGUUUUGUUUACAAACUUGUCUUCUACAUCAAAAAUUACACUUUUCAUAACAAGUGAACAUUUUACUAGGGAUUACUAUGCAAACGAGACACAUUUUUAGAAAACUAUAAUAGGUAUAGUUUUACGAGAGCAUUACAAACUUUUACAUACUAGAAACACUAUUUCAAGAAGUUUACUUUCAUAUACAAGAACAAACGAACAUUUUUUCACGUAAAUCUGUUUUAUACUAAGUUUUGUGAGACAUCAACUUCACGUACGUUCGAGUACGCAUUUCAAGUCCUAUAUUAUAUACCAGAAUCCCUUGGAGGGGGAGCAUGGUGUUUGUGUAUAGAUCUAUACGGGCUUGACAACCCGCGCCCUGACUGUUAGCUACAGUCCACCAUUUGGGGUGACAAACGUCAGAACAUUCCAACGCCUGAAGAACGUUGUGUAUAGGCAUUUCUAGUCAAUAGCAUGGUUAUAAAACUCACAUGGAGUAUUAAAAACACAUUGAUUUACGGGGCUUUUCAGACGUAUUGGAAAUUUUAUACGUACAUACAUUUUCUAGAAACAAACAUUGGUCUUGAAAGAAUGCUACAUUUAUGCUAGUAGAAAAUAUAGGAUUUUCUAGGAACAAACAAACAAGAAUAAAACAUUUCAUUUCAUACAAACAUUGUCAUUUAAUACUUAUGAAACUCACCAGCUUAAAUGCUGACCUACUCUUUCAAAACUACUUGUAUGUCCCAGGGAUUCAGUAAUUACAGGUAACAAAUAGCUUUUGAAGAAGGGACUCUGCGGUGCCAGUUUAAAUUCAUAUUUUGGCAUUUUAUUGUAAUUGGUUUUGAAUAUGUACCUAGGGGUGGCAAAAGCUGACACAACACGACAAAAAUACACAACACGAAACGAAAUUGGGACGAAAUCGAAUUUCGAAUUCGUGUUCGUGUCGUUUCCGUGUUGUUUAUAAAAAACUCGAAGUCGUUUCGUGUCGUGUUCGUGUUCAGAAUUCAAAACGAAAUUAACCCGACAACAACACGAAAUUAAAACGAUAGUAACCCGACAACAAACACGAUUAAACCGAUAUUUAUACAAAAUUAUAACUUACAACUUUUUAAUAAUAUAUUAAUAAUAUUUAUAUAUUAUAUAUAAAAAUAAUCAAUUAAAUCCAAACUGUUCAUGUAUUGGGAACCUAGAAGGAUAGAACGUUAUGUGCUUAAAAUUAAUUCCAAAUCUCCUUUGAGAACUCAACCGACAUCUCGAGUCUCGCCUCUAUCAUAUGAUUCCAAUGAGCCUGCUAUUACUUCUUCUUCUUUUAACCGGAUUCGAUGACAACUCCUCAACCUUAAAUAAAGACCUUUGAUUGUUCCCCAUUUUAAUUUCUCUCCUCAAGUUAAUUUCUCCUCACUGCUAUAUCAAAAGAAUUGACGCCUAAGAAGUAAGAAGUGUCUGUUUUCCUUUUUCAUUGCUACAAAGUCUUGUUGCUAAAUAUUCGUUGUUCGCUUGCUGCUCUUGUUUAUCGUUACCGAUCGGUAAGUUUUUUGUUUUUUUAACCCCUAAUUUUUAUUGUUGUUGUUGUUCAUCAUUGUCCGUAUGCUCUGAUAUUCAAGAAAUCGAUUAUAAAAAUUGAUUGUAGUUGUAUGUUGUUGCUUAUCGUUCCUCAUUCGAUGCUGGCUUGUUUCCCUUUUCUUAUUGUUGAUAUGUAUGAGUAUGCUCUACUCUACUUUUCAAGAAAUCGAUUAUAGAAACUAGUUCAUGUUCUUUUUCAUUGGUAAUUUCCUGAAAUUGAAUAUAAGAUCUGUUUAUAUGUUUAUUGUAUUUGUGAACUUUCUUUCCUCUUAAAUCGGUUACAAGAUAUGUAUGCUAUUAUGCUUUAUUCAAAAAAAAAUGGCAUUUGUUUUACUAUUUCAAACUUUGCUUUUAUUUUUCGACUUCUCACAUAUAGUUAUGCUUAUGUUUUUAUGAACUUGUAUACACUUGCCUUUUGAUCAUAUUUUUAUGCUUUGUAUCUUUUUGUUUGUUCUUCUUUUGUUUAUCUGAACUUGUAUGAUCUGCACCAGCAGUUUAUCACUUUUUUAAUAUGAAGAAGGCAAAGCUUGGUAAAAUACACACACCUUCUGCAGAUGUUGCUCCACAGGUAUUUUUCUGCUUUUAACUUUUCUAUUUUUCUACUUCCAUAUUUUCCAUUGUUCUGCUUUUAAAGGUUCUAUUUUUCUACUUCUAUUUUCUUUCUGAUUUUUGCCUUCUAUUUGGUUUUUAGGAUGCUGAACUUGAAGAAGAUAUCGAUGGCAUUGAUGUUCUGGAGGUAGAUGUUAAAGUCGAAGGUGAGGAACGUAAGAUUACAAUGGAAAGAGAAAGAUGGUCUAAGGUAUGGAAAUUUUUUCAAAGACUUCCAAUUGGUUCUGAUGGAAGGGAAAGGGCACAAUGUAAGAGGUGCUUAAAAAGAUAUAUUUGUGAAACUAAGAAUGGGACGGGUAGCUUAAGAAAUCACAUAAACAAGUGUCCUAGAAGGGAUGAAAAGGACGUAACACAAAUGCUUUUUGCAAAAUCAGGUGGUUCUAUGUUGAUAAACUCUAUGGUUUUUAAACCUGAAUGAUUUCGUGAAUUUGUUAGUCAAGCUAUUAUCAAACAUGACUUGCCCUUGAAAUUUGUUGAGUAUGAGGGAAUUAGGGAAAUAUUUCAGUACCUAAAUAAAAAUGUGACCACCAUUACCAAAAACACUGCAAAAUCAGAUGUCAAGAACUUAUUUAAGAGAGAAAAAGUGAGACUUAAGAAUCUGUUAGAAUUGCAUCAAGGUAGAGUUUCAUUAACUUCAGAUUUAUGGACUUCAAUUAACACAGAUGGUUUCUUGUGUGUUACAUGUCACUUCAUUGACAAGGAGUGGAAAUUGCAAAAGAGAAUUUUGAACUUUCAUUAUAUGCCACCUCCACAUAAUGGGGUAUGUUUAACUGAAAAGAUAUCUUCUUUGAUAUCUGAAUGGGGGAUCGAAAAAAAAUUAUUCACUAUCACGUUAGAUAAUGCUUCAAGUAAGGAUACAUUUGUCAAUUUACUAAAGGGUCAUUUAUGUAAUGAAGGUGCACUUCGCAGCAAUGGAGAUUAUUUUCAUAUUCGAUGUUGUGCUCAUGUGUUAAAUUUAGUUGAGCAAGAUGGGUUGAAAGCUAUUGAUGAAGGGAUUGUUAAAUUGCGAGAAUCUGUUAAGUACGUAAAGGGUUCCCAAGUAAGGAAAGGAAGGUUUAUUGAUUGUGUAAAAUAUGUUAAUUUGAAUCCAAAAAAGGGUUUGCGACAAGAUGUUCCUACGAGAUGGAAUGCUACUUAUCUUAUGAUUGAAAGUGCUAUAUUCUAUCGUCGUGCUUUUUUUCAUUUAGCAUUGAGUGAUUCUAAUUAUUUGGAUUGUCCAAGUAAUGAUGAGUGGAAUAAGUUAGAGAAGAUUUUCAAAUUUUUAGAGGUAUUUUAUGAAGUUACAUGCAUAUUUUCGAGAAAUAAAUAUUCUACAGCAAACUUAUACUUUCCUUCGGUUUCCAUGGUUGAAAAAACUUUAAGAGAAGAAAUGGAAAGUUCAGAUAAAUUUAUGAAGAAUAUGGCUAGAAAAAUGUAUGAGAAAUUUUCGAAGUAUUGGUCGGAGUAUAGUAUGAUUUUGGCCAUGGCAGCAGUUUUGGACCCACGUUAUAAACUACAGUAUGUUGAGUUUACUUACAAAAAACUCUAUGGCAACAGUUUUGCUAGCCAUAGUGAUCGUAUACGAGAGAAGCUACAUGAUCUUUUUAGUGAGUAUAUUAGUGAUUAUAGUACUGAACCACCUGUGAAUUGUAGAUCAUCAGCAACUUCAACAGGUGAUACAAGUAAAGUUGUGCACAAAAAGAAAAGUGACACAAUGCUAAGUAAGAGCACACAAGACAUGUUAAAAGUAAGUUUUUUUUUUCUUAUUAAUGAAUAUAUUGUUCUUAUUAGUUAAUUUUAUAACUUUGUAUAUUUUUUUAGGAGUUCAAGGAUUAUGAAAGUAAAGAGUUUGCUUUGUCUCAAAACUCACAAUUGGAGAUGUAUUUAGAUGAGCCAAAAAGUGACAUAGGUGAAGAUUUGGAUGUUCUUUCUUUUUGGAAAGCCCAUCAACAUCGUUAUCUGGAACUUGCUUCCAUGGCUCGAGAUAUUUUGAGCAUUCCGGUCUCCACUGUAGCAUCCGAAUCUGCCUUUAGUAAUGGUGGUCGUGUACUUGAUCAAUAUCAAAGUUCGUUGAAUCAUGACAUUGUUGAGGCUCUAAUUUGUUCAAAAGAUUGGCUUUUUGGAAUUAAAGGUGAUUGUGUUUUUUACACCUAUUGAAAACUUUUUGUUUAGUGUUUAACCAUUUUUAAUAUAUACAUAUAUAAAUAUAUAUGUUAUUGUUUUGUAGGUGAUGAAGAAUUGUGUUUACAAGAGCUUACCGAUGAUAUUAUGGAAGAUGCUAGAAAUAACAAUAAGCAUGAAUCGAUGGAGGCAUAGUUUUUAAUGGAUUUUUUGAUGUCACAAGUUUGAAACAUUUUAGUAUUAGUUUAUGUGAUGUUUGUUGUGUUGUUUUGGGUUAAUUUUAGUCAUGUUUGUCGUGUUUUGCUGACUUUUUAAGAGAACUUAUCAAUGAAAUGAUUAUUUUAUGUUUUUUGUCGUGUUGUCGUGUAAUUUCGUGUUUUUCGCGUUUUAAUCGGUUCGUGUUCGUGUUAGCAGAAAAAAACACGAUAUCGUUUCGUUUCGUGUUCAGGUUAUGGAAAAGAAAUUCAUGUCGUGUCGUGUCAGGUGAAAACACGAAACGACUGCCCGAAUUGCCACCUACCUUUUAACAAUGUAAACUUUCAAUUAUAUAUAUGAUGGUUGUAUUGCUUUCUUUACUAUGUAUUCAUUUGUUACGUUACCACAUGAAGUCAUCCGCCCCCGAACGUUUCCGCCGUUCCGGUUUGGGGGUGUGACAGAUUGGUAUCAGAGCAUUGUUUAUAGUGAGCUAAGUAUAUCAAACCACAUAAGAUAUACAAACUAUAAAUACAUAGGGACUAAAACUCUCUGACUUAACAAUUUCAAAACAGGAACAUUAGGGGUCCUUUGCUGUUAUGUCUAUGUUUGCUAAGUGUAUACGUUAAGGUGGUAUAUACUAAAAGUUUUAUAGACUUAGAAUUUGUGAUUUUCACUUUACUUCCUUUUCCUUGUUUGGAUGUGGAUAUAAGGUAAGAUCACUUAUUCGAGUGACUAUUUAAUCUUGAUUGUUUAUGACCUGUAUACACAAGGCAACCAUAGAAGGACCAGGAAUGGACCGAGAUUUCACGAAAAAUGUAAGUGCAUACAAACAUACUAGUAAGGAGUCAUAUUGGCAAUAAAAAAAAGUAUUAAGAUAAGUUAAACACUGCGAGUAAGCCUCGGGGUAUGUAAUCAUGUCUGGGAUGAAUAUAGCCUGAUCAACUAUAUUUAUCCAAGAGGUGACCAACGUAUGCCGAGGAAUGGUCGUAGUGGAUGAUGGGUCUAAAACUUACCAACAAACUAUACAAAGAAAAUUUAACAUACAAAUUUAAAAUACUAUAGGAGUAUUUUGCGUUACAAUAGAACCACACACUUAGAUUCUUCAUAUGCUUCUUACCCCUAUUCUCGCAUAGGCAUAUCAGCUAGACUUCAUCUCCACAUAGACCCCUACUAUCCUGCCACCGAAGCCAAUAGAUGGAUCAAGAAGGAUCCAGAAGAAGAUUUCGAAGAGUACCAAUAGAUGAAAUACGAGGAAGAAGAUUUCCGAGAAGGGACCAGAUGGAGAAAGAAGUUCGGGAGAUACCAUCAAUAAACCUUACCCUAUCAAGAGGAGUGUGAGAACCUCCACCUCUCAUUUCAGGAAGCAACCCGCAAUUAACUACCUAGCCACACAUAUAGACUGGAGAGGACAACCGAUGAUCCACAACCGACAUAAACUCACUGCACCGUACUUCGGGCCAUAGCACCCAUAGACCGGCAAGCAGAUCAAGAGAGCAAUACGGAUCACCUACACUCCUUAGAAAAGGAGAUAGUCGUUAUAGGAGAAAGAACCCUUACAGCUACAACCUGGACAGUCAUCACAGAACUGAGAACAGAGGAGGCCACUCGCGAAAUAGAAUCAUGCCGACACAUGAAGGUAAUUAGCAUACUGGUGCAAUACUAGUUCUAUAAAUAGACCCUACAACAUUUCGAAUUGCGGUAACAGCCACCAUGACAACAGUCAUGGCACACCUCGGCACUAACAACACAAACAAAAGCGGGAACGACGCCGAAAGUUCCAAUCGUAAUAACAACCAGGGACACCCCGAGUAUGUUUCUGCAACGACGCCCCAANCACCAAUCCACGAUACCUCAACUUGUACAACAAACAGUGACAUUCCAUACCACCACUAUCCCUACUACCUCAGUGCCAACAAGACCAUAUGUUGGAAACCUGCCAAAAUGCACCAAGUGUAGCUUUCAUCACAAAGGAAAGUGCAGUGAAAUGCACUGCAAGAACUAUAAUGAAAAGGGGCAUACCACAAAUUUCUGUAAGGUGUCGGCUCAACAGACCGCCCAGAACACAAAAGCUGGGAUGAGUCGGACUUGCUACAGAUGUGGAGAAGUAGGGCAUUUCAUAAAGGAGUUUCCGGACACUAAAAACAAAGAUGUCAGGAGCGUCAGAAGCGUUUUAGCAACAAAGCGUGGGAAAGCAGUAAUAGACCCCGCUAUGAUUCCGGUACGUUCAUUCCCGAUAGCACAUAUGCAUGGAUACUAUAUAAUAGCAACGCGGAGAGGAGUAUUGUGAGUCGUAGAUUUAAUCAAUUUCUCAACCAAAAACCUCAAAAACUUAAACGAAAUAUUUACAGUAGAAUUGGAAUAAUCAAAAGCACUAGAGACGUGUACAUAGGGUGCACUCUAACACUAAAUCAACCAAUUCAUUCAAAUCAUCCUAAAACCGGUCACAAUAAAAAUUUACGACAUUUUCAUUUUAACAACGUAUUAGUUAGUUUCCUCACCAUACCGAUAUCAUAUAUUACGAAAAGUCCAUUCGCCUAAACCCAUCGAGUAAUAGAACCCUCGUUGUCUAUAACGACAAACCGGACACAAUCCCCCGACUCACCUUUUGCAACAAGACUCAGAAGUACCUACACAGGAGGCACCACGCCGUCCUAGCCUGUGCUGUGGAUAAGAAACAAGAAGAGAAAGACAUCAUGGAUGUUGAAAAAGCCCGUAACCUUCUCGAUAUAUUCCGAGAAGAUCUCCUGGGAAUACCAUCCAUACGGUAACCCGAGUUCAAAAAUCAACCUAAGUGUAGUAGUUGCGGAAAAGGGUUGUGGUAAAUGCCAUCUCACCCAAGUUAAUCACCCCACUCAAGUAGAGACUAUGGACCCAUACUAGUGAAUCUAUGAUUACUAAGUGUAUAUAUUGGAGCCCUAUAUAAUUAAGAUUCUACGGACUUAGGGUUGGUAAUUCCGCUUUAAAUCCUUUUCCUUGUUUGGAUGUGGGCUUAGAAUAGAAUCACCGAUUCGACUGUCUUUUCAAUCUUAAUUAUAUACGACUUAUAAACACAAAGAGAUGAUAGAUGAAUCAGUUAUGAGUCAUACCAUGAACUCCAUGACAAGUUACCCAGGACAGUGGAUGGACAUGCUACCACUUGAGCGAUCGUAGACAAAUCAACCAAACCCACACACUUUCUACCGACCAAGGAUACAAAGAAAAAUAGAAAAGCUAACAGGAGCAUAUACAAAGAAAAUUGCGAGACUGCAUAGUAUACCACUAUCUAUCAUUUUGGAUAAGGGACAGGCGAUUCGCCUCGUGUUUUUAAUAGUCGUUAAAGAAGUCCUUUUUAUCACCCUCAAACUGAAAGACAAAGAGGAAGAACCAUUCAUCGAAUCCUUAUACAACAUCAACUAUUACAUUAACAUCAAGGUCGCGUCAUUCGAAGCUCUCUGCAGAAGCAAGUGUAGAUCACCUCUUUGAUGGGAUGAGGUAGGUGACACACAAAUAGCUAACAGGCAAGUUCCUAACAACACUCUCACCAGCCCCCAGAUCAUACGAGAAACUAUAGAGAAGAUUGUUCAAACCCGUGAAUGAUUGAAGGCAUCCCAGGAUUGGAAGAAGAGCUUGUCUGAUGAGACUCUUGUUAUUCCACUGGAUGAAAUUGAAAUCAACGGGAGUCUAAACUUCAUCGAAGAACCGGUGGAAAUCAUGGAUCAGGAGGUCAAAAGGACGAAACAAAGCCGCAUACCCAUAGUGAAGGCCCGUUGGAACGCCAAGCGAGGACCUGAAUUCACUAGGGAACGCGCGAAUCAAAAAAAAAAAAAAAAAAAAAAGAAACACCCCCAAUUGUUUAGUGAUAUCCCGUCUACAAGUUGAAUUUCGGGGCGAAAUUCUUUUAACGGGGGGAGAAUGUAACAAUUGGUAAAAAUAGGAACGAUCGUACGAUGCUAUGUUUUGAUUAUUAAGCAAUAUGAGUAUUUCAUCAAGAAUGGUUGAAGGAAUUUCACCUCUUUUAUUUAAAUAAGUUAUUGUGAAAUAUAAAACAAGUAGCUAUUGAUAAAUUUCGUUAUGAUGUAUGGCUACGAACCAUCACCGGUUUGUGAGAUUAGCAUAUAACAUGAUUUAAACGCAACAAAAUUAAUUUUUGUAUCAACAUUUCUCUAGUUGAUAAGUAAGUUNNNNNNNNNNNNNNNNNNNNNNNNNNNNNNNNNNNNNNNNNNNNNNNNNNNNNNNNNNNNNNNNNNNNNNNNNNNNNNNNNNNNNNNNNNNNNNNNNNNNNNNNNNNNNNNNNNNNNNNNNNNNNNNNNNNNNNNNNNNNNNNNNNNNNNNNNNNNNNNNNNNNNNNNNNNNNNNNNNNNNNNNNNNNNNNNNNNNNNNNNNNNNNNNNNNNNNNNNNNNNNNNNNNNNNNNNNNNNNNNNNNNNNNNNNNNNNNNNNNNNNNNNNNNNNNNNNNNNNNNNNNNNNNNNNNNNNNNNNNNNNNNNNNNNNNNNNNNNNNNNNNNNNNNNNNNNNNNNNNNNNNNNNNNNNNNNNNNNNNNNNNNNNNNNNNNNNNNNNNNNNNNNNNNNNNNNNNNNNNNNNNNNNNNNNNNNNNNNNNNNNNNNNNNNNNNNNNNNNNNNNNNNNNNNNNNNNNNNNNNNNNNNNNNNNNNNNNNNNNNNNNNNNNNNNNNNNNNNNNNNNNNNNNNNNNNNNNNNNNNNNNNNNNNNNNNNNNNNNNNNNNNNNNNNNNNNNNNNNNNNNNNNNNNNNNNNNNNNNNNNNNNNNNNNNNNNNNNNNNNNNNNNNNNNNNNNNNNNNNNNNNNNNNNNNNNNNNNNNNNNNNNNNNNNNNNNNNNNNNNNNNNNNNNNNNNNNNNNNNNNNNNNNNNNNNNNNNNNNNNNNNNNNNNNNNNNNNNNNNNNNNNNNNNNNNNNNNNNNNNNNNNNNNNNNNNNNNNNNNNNNNNNNNNNNNNNNNNNNNNNNNNNNNNNNNNNNNNNNNNNNNNNNNNNNNNNNNNNNNNNNNNNNNNNNNNNNNNNNNNNNNNNNNNNNNNNNNNNNNNNNNNNNNNNNNNNNNNNNNNNNNNNNNNNNNNNNNNNNNNNNNNNNNNNNNNNNNNNNNNNNNNNNNNNNNNNNNNNNNNNNNNNNNNNNNNNNNNNNNNNNNNNNNNNNNNNNNNNNNNNNNNNNNNNNNNNNNNNNNNUCACAUCAUCCCCCCGUUAGAGGGAAUUUUGUCCCGAAAUUAGGGGUUUGGCAAGGGAGUUGGCAUGAACAAUCUGGUAGAGAGAUGAGGGUACUUUCUAUUCGGUUGGUCUUUGCGCUCCUAAGUGAACUCCGGCCUUUGCUUCGUGUUCCAACACGCCUUCACUUAACUGGAUGCGGAUUUCGUUUCGUUCACUUGUUUGCACGGUUCGCAAUUCCUACAGGUUUCCUUACGAAUCUAGGUGUCACACCCCGCUAAAAUGGAAGUAUAAAGGGUUUCAUAGCAAAAGUUAAAAGAUAACACCAAACAUAGUAUUAAAAAACAUUACAAGUUUACAAUGGGUUUGAACAAAUUUUAAAAGAAAUUACAAUGUAAAUUGAAAUACAACACAUGUGAAUGCUCCUAAAAGUGAAGUGUCCCUAAGUGCCACUUACUCGAUGAUUCCUGAAAAAGCAUGUAAAACGAGCGUCAACUAUAAAAAUAGUUGGUGAGUACUCACAAGUUUAACAAAAUAAUAUUGGUUCAUGAAUUGAAAUCAAGGUUUUGAUAAAAGUUUCCAAUAAUAAAAGUAUAUUGUUAAAAGGAGUAAAUAAGUUUGUAAAAACAAAGUUAUUUGUCAUCAUGAGAGAUAAAGUAUGUUGCCCGAGUAAGAUGCAACAUUCAUAUUCUCAUGGAAGAUAAAAUUCGUUACACAAACGAGUAAACAAGUUUCAUUGCUAAAAUGAGCAAUCAAUUUCAUUGCUACAAGGAGCAAACAAUUCCAUUGCUAAAACAUGUAUAUAAGUUUUCAGUAAUAAAAGUUCGUUGUUGUAAUGAGAAACAACGUUCAUUGCUAUAAUGUGAAACAAAGUUGAUUGCUAUUAUANAAGUUUAUUGCUAUAACGAGAAACAAGUUUGUAUGUGUAUGAGCAAACAAUGAGUCUCAACCAAACCUAUGACUGAAGCCCUAUCAAGAUCUAUGCUUAUCGUUCCAUAGAUGAAUAUGGUAUCAUGCACUCCAGCAAUAGGGCGGGUGAGGAGUUGUCAAUUCCUAAUAGCGCUAUCCAAUGACCAUUGGCUCAAAGAGUUAAUGGUUAGAGAUAAGGGAAGGGCCUUAGUAUGAUAAGUUCUCAUGUUCCGUGUUGCAUAGACAUACAUAGAGAGACAUAGCAAUACAAUAGCAAUCGUGUUUGAUACAAAUCAAUUUAAAUACAACAUGCAAAUAAUAGUUUUUCUGGACAUGCUUUUCCACCCAAAACAUAAAAACUGAAAAUAGGGGAGUGCGUGAAUACUCACAAUAUGCAUUGAGAUGAUGCAAAUGGUGUCUUGAACUACGCUCCACUCGUACCACUAUCGUUUUCCUAAACGAUGUUACACACUAACGAGUCUCUAAUUGAAAUCAAAUACUAGUAUACUUACUACUACAAUAGAAUGAUGCCAAUAAUGUGUUAAAAUUUAAUAUUGAUCAGUUACAAACAUUUUUCUAAGGAAAUUAAGUUUCAAUGAAUCAAUUGUUAUAUAACAAUUUGAGUGGAAAAAUUUCCAUUAUUGAAAUGUUAAUAUUUAACAUUUUAGAGGUGUUCCAAUGAUUAAAUAUUCAAAAACUAAAUCAAUUUAGUUCUAAAAUUUCCCAAAGUUUGCAUUUCAGUUUUAAUUGAAGUCAAAGACCUUAAGAUAAAUUUUCUUGAAUCUUUUAUUUGUCUAACUAUUUUUCACCAUUUAAUUCCAUGAAUAAUCAUAAAAUCAUGGAAAAAUAGUAGAUUAUCAUGAAAAAUUCUUAUAAUUUUUUGUAACUAUUUUACAGUGUACAUAAUCUAGGAAAAUAUUAAUAUGUGUUUUCAAAAAGUUUAAUACAAUUUUUCUAAUUGUUUUGUAUUUACUCUAUAAAAAUAGAAAUAAAUAGGUAACAAUUUCAAAAAUUCACCAAAUGUUUUUUUUACAAGUGUUAUUACACAUACUUAAUCUGUGAACAAUAUAAAAAUGGGUUUCUAAACUGUUUAACCCAAUUUUAUGAUUUUUAUGCAUUUAUUCUAAUAAAAAUGGAGAUAAAUAGAAAAAAGUUUCCAAAAUUGUCCAAAAUUUUUGUAACAAUGUUAUUACAUAUAUAGAAGCUUUGAAAAAUAUAAUAGAUAUUUUUCAAUUAGUGUUGCUAUUUUUCCUUGUUUAAUCCUCUUAAAUAAUCAUUAAUUGAAUAAUAAUUAUUAAACAGUUAAAGUAAAUUAAAAAAAAAUUUGUACACUUCAUUUACAGAGUAGAUAAUCUGGGAAAAAUACGAAAUGUGGUUUUUAUAUAUGAAAUCUGAUUUUGUGUAUUUAAGUGUAUUUAAUCUUAGAAAAUAGGAGAAAAAUAGUAUACAGAGUAGAAAAAUCAUAAACAUUUUUAUGUAGCCUCCUAAUGUACUACAAGGUGUUCUAGUAAAUUUUCAUAAUUUUUGGAUGAGAAAAACUAUUUUUCCUGUUUUAGUCCAUUUUAAAUACAAAAAUCGGAGAAAAAUAGGAAUACAUUAUGAAAAAUUCUGGAAAUGUUUUUCUAAGUCUUCCAUAGAUCGUAUAAUCUGCGAAAAUUAUUAGAUACCAUUUUUAUAUUCCCUAAUGUGGUUUUUUUUAUUUAUUAGAGCUAAACAAAAAGAAAAUUCAAAACCAUAUUAAACAGUAACAAAAAUGGAUCAAACUUAAUGGGAGAUGUUUAUUAACUUAGAGGAUCAUGCAACGAUUUUUCCAGAAUUUAUUUGCUAGUUUAAGUAUUUUAUAUGAUUUAACACUCUAUUUUCUUAUUAUUUUCCUGUAAAAAUAAAGAAAAUAUAUGUUGGAUUAAUGUCUAAGUCCAUAACUAUAAUUGGUANNNNNNNNNNNNNNNNNNNNNNNNNNNNNNNNNNNNNNNNNNNNNNNNNNNNNNNNNNNNNNNNNNNNNNNNNNNNNNNNNNNNNNNNNNNNNNNNNNNNUCGGUUUUACAUUACAUUGACCCGAAAUAUCGGGUUGUCACAAAGUUGAACUGUACAGAUAUUAGAUAAACAACAUGUAAUUAAUAACUGUAAAGAAAAAUAGAUUUUUGCAUGUUAACUGUUUUAUCCAGCUUAAGAUGUUCCAAUCUCGCUUUCAACUCUUGUUAAAGUAUGAAUUUCUCUUUUAGAUUAUCAUAAGUAUUCGAAAGGUUUUCCAAAGGUUUUUCAUUCUUGGUUACUAAAGAGACAUCAAGUUGUAAUUUCUUGUUAAAGGUUUUCUUCACUUAAACUGUUUUAUCAAAUCGUUUUCAAAGCUUGUUUUACAAAAAUGAGAUCAAGUCGUAAAUUCUUAUUUGUGAUGGUUUUCCAAAGUUUUUACCAAACUUUUGUUCUAUGCUUCUAUUUCGUUAAAUGCAUGCCUAUAUUUGUAUAAUUAUAUAAAUAAUGUUUAGAGGACAUAGGAAGGCUAGUUCUCCCUAUUUCAUUUUCCUCGUUGGGAUGUGGUCUGGUGGGUUUCGGUUAUCCGUCCGAAGGUCGUUUAAACAUUAGUUAUAUAUCAUGUAUACAUGUAUGGACAUAAAAGCUCUCUCUCUCUCUCUCUCAGCCAAUUCAUCGCCUUGAGUAGUACAGGAAUCCUUCUAUUAUUCGUGUUUCUGGAACCCUAGUAACUACUAUAGUAAUAGUUAGGAGACUCUAUCUCUAUCUCUAUCUCUAUCUCUAUCUCUAUCUCUAUCUCUCUCUCUCUCUCUCUCUCUCUCUCUCUCUCUUUUACUUUAGAAUGUGACACACUAUUUCCCUCUACGAUGCUUCAUUGCGCCAACGCCUUGUAACCAGAGUCUCCGGGAAAAACUUAGAAAGAGUGAAUAUAGCACAUGUAAUCGAUCCUAUAUCCGAAGCAUAUGGGACAACCUCUACGACGCUUCAUGCCCCAAGCAUUUGGAAAAACUUAGAAAGAGUGAAUAUAGCACAUGUAAUCGAUCCUAUAUCUGAAGCAUAUGGGACACGAUUCAUGAUGUCUCACAUAAAGAUUAAACCAGUCUUUUGCUAUAAUAUUUCCAUUUCUAUUUGCCAAGUUCUCAUAAUUCAGAUCAUGAAAAGGGAUGUCGUAAUCAUAAUCGAAUUUUAGAACGCAAAUAAUGAACCCAUAUAUAGAAUUUCCUUAUGUUGAGCCAUCCCAACAUGAAAUUCAUAUAUAUUCUUGACUAAAUACGAUUAAGACCUCAAUCUAAGCUUUUAGAUUUGAGAUGAAGUAUAAUUUCCUCUCCCUUAAUUAUAGCAAAACAACUUUUUCAACCCCUGCAACCUCACGAAUUGAAACUUUUGUUUUCUAUAAUUAACAUUGCUAACUUGCAAUACUUAACAUAAUUAUCAUGCUCCCACUAACAUGAUGCUUAUUAGCAUAACACUUAUGCUCCUACUAGCUUUGACAUGUACCCAUAAAUCAACUGAACUUCUAGAAAUCAUUACUUUAUUGAGUUUCUUACCAAAGUUCAGAUUUCGGAUACUAGAUUGCCUUGAUAAGACUUUAUCAAUAUCAUACACCUCUCUUAGAUAGCUCACAUUUGUGUCUAAACAAUUAUGAAGAGGGAUGCCGUAAUCAUAAUGUUUAGACCUUUUGUCAUUCCCACAAUUUCUAUCUACUCAAAAUCUACUUAGUGAAAGAGUUUCCUUACCAUCAUUUUCAUGAAUCGAAGAGAAACCUUAUGACACUUAGAUUUAAUGGUGUAUGUGUUCUUAUCCAUGUGAAUUGUCAAAACCAUAGUCACAAGACAAGGAUAAUGACAAAUCCAAACUCAUAUGGAUUGAACUUGUGCAAUCUUAACUUCUUGCCACCUGGCAGCUCAAGGGCCUGCCAUUGCUUCCAAGUAGUUAUGCAAACAAUUGAGAACAUGUAGAACUCAAAUGUAUAGCCAACUUAACUGGAAUGGGCACAGAAAUGUCAGCACGAUAGGUUAUAAACCUCUACUUGUGUGCUAGCGAUGAAAUACAGGUUUUAUUCUUGAUUACUUCUUGAAACCUUUUUCAGGAUCUUUUAGACUCCCACUGUCUCCUUGACCUAUACGACUUUCUUGCCAAAUAUUCAAGAGAUAGUGUGGAUUCUAAUCAAGACAGACACUUAACACAAUUAGCCUUAGUUGGUCUUUGUUUUAUCCAAAACAUCANAACUCAUAUGGAUUGAACUUGUGCAAUCUUAACUUCUUGCCACCUGGCAGCUCAAGGGCCUGCCAUUGCUUCCAAGUAGUUAUGCAAACAAUUGAGAACAUGUAGAACUCAAAUGUAUAGCCAACUUAACUGGAAUGGGCACAGAAAUGUCAGCACGAUAGGUUAUAAACCUCUACUUGUGUGCUAGCGAUGAAAUACAGGUUUUAUUCUUGAUUACUUCUUGAAACCUUUUUCAGGAUCUUUUAGACUCCCACUGUCUCCUUGACCUAUACGACUUUCUUGCCAAAUAUUCAAGAGAUAGUGUGGAUUCUAAUCAAGACAGACACUUAACACAAUUAGCCUUAGUUGGUCUUUGUUUUAUCCAAAACAUCACAACUUACCAAUUUCAAAUGUACAAGAGUAGAAAACUUUUACUCUUACAUUUGACAAGUGUUUUAAACCUUCUUUAAGACAUGUCACUCAAGUUACAAUCUUAGAGUAUAACUCUAUGAAUUGUUUUGGAAUGAAGUAUGAAUCAUCUUCUUGAUUUAACCACUUCAACAAUUCAUAACUCCUCUUCUUAACUAUCAGAAUGUACUUAGAGGAUGAAUUGUGAUAAGGUCUCAAAAUCAUUAAGAUGACCUUAAAACAUGAUACUAAAGUACUCUCCCAUCUUUUCAGAUUUGAGAAACUUUUAUCCUUCUGCCUAAUUUGAUUCUUCUUAUUCGUUCUGUCAUACAUUGAAAAUUUUCCAAUGUUUCAGAAUUAUACUUAAGCUUGUAAGUAUAAUCAUAUUUACUAAACCUUAGUAAAUCAUGACGAAUAGUCUUAUCCAUCUUUUGUGGUGGACUUUGACAAGUGCACAAGAAAGUGUACUUGAUCCCUUAGUCCUUCUCUUGACUCACACAUCCAUGUGAACAAGUAGUUAGUCUUAAUUUUUCCAAUGCUCGAAAGUUCUCAUUCAUCAUACUAUACAACUUGCAUGAUUCCAAGUUUCGGUCCAAUUGAAACUUGGGUGAUGAGAAUCUUUCCUUAUUUGGUAAAUUUAGACACUACCACAAAUGAACGAAUCAAAUUCAUAUUUCCAAUAUUGCUAUAAACAUACAAACAUCAAGUUUUCAUGAAUGCCAUUGUAAGGAGAUAAAAAUAAAGUAAAACAAACUUGUAUUUAUUUUAAUAUGCGGAAAAAACUUUUUCCUUACAAUGUAACUUGAAAUGAAAACUAUUUUAUUACUUGUUUCCUAACAAUCAAUCAUAGCUCCUAAGAGUAGCUCAAGAAUCCAAUCUUCAAUCAAGCGAUAGAAAUCCAUCUUUGCGAUCAGAUUCAACAUACUCUUUCUUUAAGUUUCCUUCACUUGUCCUUUGAUUCUUAAACGUCAACAUGUGACCCAAUCACAUCUUGUAAUAAGUAUCUUAGAAUAGAAACUUAACCGAGUUAGAUAGUGGACCUUACCUGAAAUAGAGUCAAACUUAUUGACUUUACUAGCCUUAUGAUCUUUCAGGUAAAAUUGACAGCUUCGCAACCAAUGCCAUUUCCUUUUGGAAAUAGGACCAUAUGGACCCUUAGGUAAUAGUACAUGGGACUAUCUCAGACUUAGCCUUUCUCUUUACCAUUUGCUUAACCGAGUUGACUAUGGCCGAUCCCUUUCCAUUGGGAAGAGAAUGCUUUUGUCCCUGUCCAUAAAGUUUUGGGAAGUUGGUCUCCUAAUCAAUUUGCUUUACAAGUACACUAAAUCAUUUCUGAUUUAGCAGCACCAAGCAAAUAGAUAAGAUCAUUAAGGGUCUUUUCAUAGUCUGUUUCAUAGGAGUCCUAAGGAACUCACUAUGUGACUUAGAAAGUGAUUGAACCACUAACUUUCUUAAGACUUUGAGACCCAACUCUCCCGGCUUGUCAGUAUGUGACUUCAUCUUCAAGAUGUGAUCACACCUAGACCUUGCCUUGCCAAUAGGGCUUGAGUGACCUUGAACUUGUGGGUUAGGGAGAAUAAUUGGAGGAGGUGGAGGAAGUGAAGUUCCAAGAUAUUUGGGAAGAUCAUAGAUGUCUGAACUUGACAUCUUUUGGGAGAUAUUCAAUAUAGUUGAUUUAAAGUCCUUAAUAUAACACCCAAUAUGAAAUAUUAAGGCUAGGACCCAACAAACUAUUUUAUAACUUGGAAGAGGGAUGCCGUAAUCCAAGCUAUAGAAUAUUUGAAGGUAGGUGAAUUACGAUUCACCAAUUUCCACCAUGUAAAACAAAAUAAUUUAUUAGGUUUUAAUUGGAUUUGAAACUCCUAGAUCUUUUGAGAUUCAUUGAACUUUUCAAUGGCAUGUUUCAAUCUCAAGUGUGCCCUUCAGGUUUUGUGACUGGGAUGCGGAGGAUCACAAAACAAGGUGUGAAGUAACCAUGCAAAUUACUUGGUACCCUUAAGUGUUUACCCCUCAAUCGAUGUGCCCGUUAACCACACAUGCUCCAUCGAUACUAUGAUAAACAUCAAGUUAUGGAAGACAUUAAAUCAUUUAAUGAUGACAUUAAAAAUAGAGACUCUUCUAUUUUCAUAACCUAUGAGACUUAAUGACACUUUAAAAAGAAAAACUCUUCACUUUCCAUAACUUGAGGACAAGUUAUGGAGUUCAUAAAAACCAUUAAGAUCAAAUAUUCCAAUUAACACAAUAAUCAAAUAAUUUUUCUAUGAUCUAGAUUAAACUCAUAAGUAAAGAUAAUUCACAUCAACAAUUUUCAAGAAAUUAGAUAAUCAUAUAAACUAAUACAAAUCUUGAAACUUUGACAAUUAUCCUUUGAAGACUCUUGGACUUCAUAACCUAAAGAGUUAAUAAAUGAGACAUUUCACAUCCAUAACUUAUGGAAGUUUCAAAACUCUUAAGAUCAUUUGUUUAAAAAUAACUUUUGAGUUCCAAAAUUUUAUGACAAAAUUUGUAACUCCUUAAAACCACUUAGAUGAAACUUUUAAAACAAAUAAAAUAAUCAUAUCAUUCUAUCUUUUAAUAAAUUGACCUAAUUCAACUCUUGUACUAAGGUGACUCAAAUUUUACAAAUAAUUAGUUUUUCAUAAAAUCAAGUAAUUAUCAUAAAAAAAAAUACAUUUGCAUCAAAUAUAGUAGAAAACAACCCAUGGCUCUAAUACCACUGUUGGGUUUUGGUAUAAUACAACAUCAUAUGGUGCACAUACAACCCUAAAUACCUUGGAUCUAUGUUUUCACUAAUUAUACAUGCAAAUGGUUUCCAAGGCAUUAAACCUAUAACGAGCAUGCAUUUGACAUAAACCAUAUAAUAUACUAGUUAGGAAAACAUACCUUUUAUGUGGCUUGAAGUCUUGAUGUAUUUGGACUUAAGAGCUUAGCACCACUAGUAUGAAAUGCCUAAAAUGGAAUCACAAUACACCUAGGACAAAGGUGGCUCUUGAGAGAGAAUUCCAUGCACCAAAACACCUCUAUAUUUCUCUAAGAAAACAAGUGGUGAUUUUGGCUAUGGAGUAACCUAUUUAUAUAUAGGAUUCCAAGGGUCAUGGGUAUAACCCAUAAUCCAUACCCAUGGGUUUUAUGAUCCAUGGUUCAUGUGGCCCAACUCUUUAUGUACCCAUACAUAAACUUGGUCCAACAUGGAUCAUAAGCCCAACAUAUAUAAAUAUAACUACUUAUCAUAAUUAGUCCCCAUAGAUUUAAUUAGUCUCUUUUGAUCACUAAAUUAAUUCCAAAUUAAUUCUUGAUAGAUACUAAUUAAAACAUAUGAUUUCAUAUUAAUAUAUAAUAACUUAUAAUAUAUUAAUAAACCAUAAAUACCCUUCUCUCAUAAGUCCAUCCUAACAAAUUGUCCUGAUGAUCUGCAACCUAAAUGGACCAUGCUACUCUCGGGUCAAGUACAUACCAAUAAUAGUCAUGGGCUUAGACAUCUAAUCCAACAUAGGUAUCUAUCCGAAGAAAACCAACGCCGGUCCUAGUCAAGGAUAAGAGGUAGACAGAGGGAGCCAAUACAUGGAACCCGAGAAGUGACUUUUCCUCGUUAUUGUCGCACUAAUACACCCAUAAAAUAAUAAAAUUUAGUGAGUCAGUGAUUACACUACUCACACUAUGUGUUAGGUAAUCCGCCUUUUCUCGUUGCAAGUAAUACGAUUAGAUCGGAUCUCAAAACCUCGAUUGAGAGUGUUUAGCCAUAAGUCUUCAUGAGCCUUUCUUUCCGCAGUCUUCGUUCCGAACUGUCCUCNUUCUUAUGUGAUUUCGUUCCAAACUUCCCUCAAAUCUUUCCAAAGCUGGAGUGUGAACCUUUCCAGCAUAAAGAAAACUUAGUAGGAACGAUUCACAUCUUAUGGCUUUCCGAUACUCUUACUCCUACCUUGAAUACCCGGACUACAUCAUAGGGACGUUGGUCGCACUCAGAUAACCAAUAUUCGAGGAAAACCAUGCCUCUGAAGAAACAUAACCAAUCCGCUGGCAAGAAACCGACUCUCCUAUUCGAUGAAGCUACGUUCCAAGUUGCAGUCUCGGCAUCCGUAGCAGCUGUCAUGACUUAACUGAAUGAUAACAGCGCCAACAUUAGCAGGAGCCCUAUCGGGAAUCCCGAUCAGAGCAAUGGACAGCAGCAACCAACACCUGCAUACCCAGCCACCCAAGAACCUCAAGCAGAUCCACCCAAAAGGAAAUUCAAGAGCGAAGAGGGAAGUACCUCGACUCAAGGACCUUCCAAAAGGCAACAAGCUGAGGUAGUCAAUACCCCUGCCAACCCUUCCAUCCCGACAUCAAGAAGACCAUACCUAUGAAACCUUCCCCACUACAGCAAAUGUAGCUACCAUCAUCAUGGUAUAUGUCGAGAAUUCUUUUUGCACUAGCUGCAACAAGAAGGGGCAUACCGCUCGUACUUGUAGAACCUCGGUUGAGUUCAUCACAUCAACCACCAAUGUGGCGACCAGUCCAGUAUGCCCUCUAUGUGGUGAGAUUGGACACUUCAAGAAGGACUGGCCAACUGAAGGAAACGACAAGGGCACAGGAGGGGUGUAACCCUAAUGCCUAGGGAGAAGCAUCAAGGAAGCCGGUAGAAAUUUUGGUACGUCUCUCAAUCUCAGAUAACUAACCGAAAACAUUAAAAGGCUAAUUCUAAAUGUAAUUACUCUCCUGUUAAGGCAAAAGUCGCAGCAUUGUUGUAAGAUUAAAAAUUUUCAUCAGGUAAAGCUAUAUGGCUCAAUAUACACGUUAAAGCCAUGUAUAAUUAAGAUGGAUAGACCUCGAGUGAGUGAUGCUGCCUUAUUUCUUGUUCCUCGUUUGGUUGUAGAUUUAGGGCGGAGUUGCUCAGUCAACAGUCCUUCCCACCUUAACUAUACAUGAAUAGUGUAUGUUAGGCGAUUAUAGAAAGGACUCGUGAGAAUCCAUUCAUGAAAAGCACCCUAUUCUGAAACACUCAGGAUCCUCUAUGGUUUCACGUCGACUCUAUCGGUCCAAGUAUCUGCGACAGUGAUACAUUGGAUGAAACCCGAGACGCCAAGAACUUGUGUGCCCGUUCAGCACAUGGCCCUAUCAACCCUCAUUCUAUUUCAUGUUGAUGUAUGCCAACUUCUAUGCCUCUAUCAAUCAUGGUUCGACUUAGUGCAACCAUGUGAAAAUUCCUCGUGUUGUGUAAAAGGAACUUUCACCGUAGCCAUUUUGGCAAAUAAAGGUUCUUCUGAACCUAAUAUUAAAACCUAAUGUGAUCUGUCAGUCGUCUCACUUACCUAAAACCUUCCGAAGUACCCAGGAGAAGAGUACCGCACGCUGUUAACCAACCCUUUCUUAGAUAGAUAGAACCCGAAGCGAAAGACACUACAGGUAUUUCAGAAGAUGAUAACCACCCGAAGCUUACUCCGUAGAUCCCCCAGAAAGACGCUUAGUACCUCACAAUCAGGUUCGUGAAUCCAGAGGAGAGAACUCAUGGGACUGACUACUAUAUCUGAGUAUAUGCAUAAGGGUGGUAUAUAAUUGAGAUAAAAAAGAUUUAAGAUGUGUGCUUCCUCCCUACUCCCUGUUCCUCGUUGGGUUGUGGGUCUGGAGUGGAGUCACACAACUGAACAUCCUGUCGACCUCAAUUAUAUAUGGCUUGCAUACAUCAAGUAUUAGUGGUUAAGCCAAGUAUGAGCUCUACCACGAACCUCAUAAUAAAACCCUUCAUCCUAUCCCAUAGAAUAGCAACUAGAGUUAAGAGAACCACUGCGGGUUGAGCUACUAAAAUGACCACAAAUCCGAAAUUUUUUUUGUCAUCCCGGUUAAGCCAACAUAGUAGCUAACACCCUUAGUUGGUAAAGAAAUCUGAGUCGUAAGUGUCAAGGAAAUUGACUACGACCAUCCAUCCACGCUUAAUCCCACGAAUUAAGCGUCUGAAAAGAGAUCCCAGGAACCUGGAAGUGAUGACAGGUUAAACUCUGAGAAGAGUGGAUGAGGAAAUUAGAAGUUCCGGGUAACGGAACCCUAUACUCUUUAGAUUUGAUCUAGAUCGAGAAAGCUAUGAAACACCAGAAGAGUAGUUGCAAAAGAUAAUCGCACUACUCGGGCGCUUAGUCCACCUUGCUACUGACGAGUAGUGCCUAUGACACUCCGCCUCCUCACGUGGAAGAAGUCAUCGUCGCCCUGUAGACAAUAGACUGCAUUCUCUGAAGUGAAUACUAGAAUGCCAAGAGCCACAUGAUAACCUCCACAGACAAGAAUACUUGAAUAAAGUACGAAAGUAGGUUGCAUUAAGCCUUAUAACCUAGAUCCCGAAGAGAUUAUAGACUCAACACCAGUCUAGGUGUUAGUCGAUGGGUUAUACAAGAGCACGUGCUUUCUGCAACUGGAAUAAACCGACACCUUAGAGAUUAGGGAAUGUCUUAGAAAUUAAUUGGACUACUAGAUAGUCCAACACUUCAGAAAAUCUCUAAAGACUGAGUCAUCCCCGAGCAGAGAUUGUUAUUCAUGAAACAACAAAGUAAUUAAGAGCAUGAUUCUUUCUUGUUAGAAAUCAUAUCGUGAAAGCGUCAACUAGACGAUGAUGAGAAGUUUAAAAACUUUCUAAACAAUCGUCUAGUAAAUCCCUAUCUCACCCACCCCGAGAGCUUCCGUUAGAAACAUCUCAAGAAUCAGAAGUGCAGGUUCAUUUUAGACUAGGUUGAGAUAGACACCCUGCAGCAAAUGGAUACCCGUAGACAUCCAAUUCAUCUGAUGAUCCAGAAAACCUCUGAAAGCCAAUCAGCCGGAAACACGAAUCCGAGGAUGAAUCGAGCCUUCUAAGGACCAAACCGAAGAACUACACACCAGUAUGAGAGGACGUCUGGAACUUCAAAAUGGCAAUCACACCAGUGAUUAUCUCGCCAUAGAAGUACAUUAUGUUCUAAGUACUGAAAAGCUCUAUCUUUCCGAGAGCUUAGGACCAUUCGAGAUUCUUUACAAAAAUUUGUCCAACCCUCGUCAGACCACGACUACUUUCGGAAUUCCAUAAGUUUCACCCCGAAUCAAUCCACAUCUUAGAUUUGAAAGAGUGCUUGCCCGAUGUAACUCUCUAAAUCACACCUGUCUUGAUAAAAAUCAUUGGGAACCUUAGUGUGACAACCGUCAAAAUUCGAGUUAGUUCUAGAUUUGAAUAAACUUAGUUACACAUAUAGGCACUACACAUAUUAGACCUAGUAACUAGAAGCUAAGUUAUAACCUAGUAGAAUCUUGGAAAUAGAUAAAGACAAUGGAUAAUGUGCUUGGAUUUGACAUUGGUAUGUGAAUUCUACAACUACUUAACUGUAGUGACUAUCCAUAUUCGGGUUACUCUUUGACUCGAACAACAUUUCAUGAAUCAUACACACACAUAAUGCACUUGACCUAGAAGUAGAAGUUAGUUCAAAGUCUCAUAGAAACUUAAGUCAAAGUUGAAAACUAGGACUAGUAUACUUGAUCCCUCAAUUUCGCUUGAAUCUCGAAACCACUACAUAGAAUGCCAAUAAACCGAUAAAAUAAGUUACAAAUAUUAUUUAUAAGUAUAAAAGAGUUAUAAUACCAUAAGAUAAAUUAAAGUCUCAAAGAUUCUAUUGCUUUUGAUAUCUAAAGAUUUAUUAAAUCUCAAAACCCUAAAAGCCGUAAACCCUAAAUUUUAAAAAAUUUGACAUCAAGAAUUCUAUAAAAAUAAUUAUGAAACUUAUAAUAUUACCUUAAAACAAUUAAAUUCAGGGAAAUAUAAUCAAGGAAAAUAAAAAUUUAAGUCAUUAACAUUCAUCCUUAAUUUAUAAGUCAAAAAUCAAGGUUUCAUGAAUAAAAAGUUGAUUUUAGUGCACAUUUUAUAUAAAAUUUAGAUAUUUUAUAAAAUAACUUAAAUUUUAUAAAACAAAAUGAAUGAGAAAGGGUUAUUAUACUCAAAAUUUCGGACCCCUCUCUUCCCAUAUCUCUCUCUCACACUCUCAUUCUCCAACACACACACACACACACAUCUCUCUUCUUUCUCUCUCUACCUUCUCUCUAAAUUUUUCUCCAAACACCACUCCAUUCUCUCUUCCACCCUCUAAGAACCACGAAAUUUUCCAGAAAACAAACCCAAGAACACUCCUCAAUCUCGAAAUCUUCAUCAUCUUAUGGUGUUCUUGAAGGUAAAAUCGAAUUCUAGUUCACUUUUCCUUCAAGUUUUGCUAUUUUUCUUACACUUCUACUUCUUCAUCUUCUUCAAACUUGUUUUCUUUUUGUUAAAAUGGUUUUUAGAAUAUCAAGGAUGUGUUCUAACACCAUGCAUGUAUGAUAAACAAGGUUGCAUGUUCAUGAUCUUAGUGCAAAAAUCGAUUUUAAGGACUAAAACAUCAAACUCAAGUUAAGAGUUUUUGAGAAACAAAAUUUUGUUCAUAAAUGCAUGUAUACAUUUUGAUAAGUUUUAAUCUUUUGAUCUCUGGAAACAUGACUAAAAUAUGAGUUUAUCAUGAUAUAUUUAAAUUAUUUCAAAAGAUUUACUCAAGGAAAUGAUGAAAACUCACUUUUCUAACCAAAAUUUGUGAUUCUUUUUUUUGAAAUAUAAUAUUUUGAGUUAGCUUUCAAACCCAUCUGACCUCACUGGAAAAUUCCAAUAUUUCGAUUUUUAACAAUUUUUACAAAACUGUUGCUCAAACAGCACUUUCCUUAUGAACAUUUGUUUUGUGUUGCAUGUUCAAAGGACGUAUUCAUCACUAAAAAUCAUUCAAAAAUUAUUUUGAACUCUUAACAGCAUGUAUUAAGAGGUACACAAAGAUCUUGAUUUAAAAGUCUUUGUAACAUGUUGCAAAAAUUCUCAAAGUAACAUCAAUAAUCUUUACCAAAGUCACAAGAACCAAGUUUUCUCUAUAAUUUAUUGAGCCUUUAGGCAUGUUUUUCGACAUCAAAAAUAAGAGAACAAUUUUUCAAUGUUACUAAAUUCUAUGUAGAUGUGUUCUGAAAAUGUUCAGCUCAAUAUAUAUUGUUGAGUUUUCAGCAUUCUAACACUCCUAAGUGUACAUGCAACCCUAAAUACCUUGGAUCUAUGUUUUCUCUAUUAUACAUGCAAAUAAGAACUUCCAAGGUAUUAUCCUAAUCUAGCAUACAAAACAAUAACUAUAGCAAGAUAGAAUACAUACCUCUUUGAUGUAGAAAGUCUUCAUGAAGCUUGAGUGCCUAGUGCCCCAAGUGUGACACCUCAAAUGGAAUCACAAUCAUCAAAACACUUGGAAUGACUUGAGAGAAUUCUACACUCAUCAAAAUCGGCUAGCCCUCUCUAGAAUCAUACUAGUGUGAUUCUAGUUGCCAAUUUUGUCAAGAAUAAGAUCUUUAUAUAGUGUUACAAUUAGGGCAAACCCUAAUUGUCAUGACUUUCCAUUUCCAUGGAUCCAUGGGUUCAAAUACACCAUGGAGCAUCCAUGGACCAUCCUAUGGGUUUUAGCCCAACUUGAUUAUCCAUGGAGCAUUAGCCCACUAUACAAGUAUGGAUGAUUUACACAAUCAACCCAUAUAUUUAAUUAGUCUUCUUUUGAUCACUUAAUUAAUCCUAGAUUAAUUCUUG
rnacentral:lncRNA from 1 species